GGUACAUCGGUGACAGGUGGUGCAUGGUUGUCGUCAGCUCGUGUCGUGAGAUGUUGGGUUAAGUCCCGCAACGAGCGCAACCCCUAUUGUUAGUUGCCAUCAUUCAGUUGGGCACUCUAGCGAGACUGCCGGUAAUAAACCGGAGGAAGGUGGGAUGACGUCAAAUCAUCAUGCCCCUUAUGACCUGGGCUACACACGUGCUACAAUGGUUGGUACAACGAGUUGCGAGUCGGUGACGGCGAGCUAAUCUCUUAAAGCCAAUCUCAGUUCGGAUUGUAGGCUGCAACUCGCCCACAUGAAGUCGGAAUCGCUAGUAAUCGCGGAUCAGCACGCCGCGGUGAAUACGUUCCCGGGCCUU
rnacentral:rRNA from 1 species